CUUCCUGCCUUAACCGGAUAGCGAGGCGAAAUAUUAUCGGACGGGAUGGAGGGCGGGAGCGGUUGCUUCGAUUCCUAGUCGUUCAGUUGCCAUCUCUUUUGUACCGUGGAUAUAACAUUUUGUGGGGGGUAAUAUAAUCCAUUUUGAAAUGAGCUGAUCUUGUUUAAGUCGUUCAAAGCAAAUACGAACUGGCGGUGGAUCAAGCCAAGCCGGCUCGUCGGAUUAUUAACUCCACUACUUCAGGCAUGGGUUUUGCUAUAUGAAUUGGGUCACGUCGGGACAAUAAAGGUGACGCCCUAUUCGAACAGCUUUUCCCUUCCCGCAAAGACCUGAACUAAUCCGGCCCCCUGUUUAUUUAAAAACGUACCAAAAAACCCCAUAUCCAAAUUACCAGAUUACCAGUUAAAGUUUGAAUCUUAUUAGAAAUCGAAGAGAUCUGAAAAAAGGGGAGGAUGGGAAUUAUAAGAAGUUGCUUCUCAUUCAUGAUGGGCUCAGCAGUAGGAGUUUAUGUGGCUCAGAAUUACGGCAAAGACCUGAACUAAUCCGGCCCCCUGUUUAUUUAAAAACGUACCAAAAAACCCCAUAUCCAAAUUACCAGAUUACCAGUUAAAGUUUGAAUCUUAUUAGAAA
rnacentral:lncRNA from 1 species